rnacentral:rRNA from 1 species
CCUACGGGGGGCAGCAGUGGGGAAUAUUGCACAAUGGGCGCAAGCCUGAUGCAGCCAUGCCGCGUGUGUGAAGAAGGCCUUCGGGUUGUAAAGCACUUUCAGCGGGGAGGAAGGCGGUGAGGUUAAUAACCUCAUCGAUUGACGUUACCCGCAGAAGAAGCACCGGCUAACUCCGUGCCAGCAGCCGCGGUAAUAGGGAGGGUGCAAGCGUUAAUCGGAAUUACUGGGCGUAAAGCGCACGCAGGCGGUCUGUCAAGUCGGAUGUGAAAUCCCCGGGCUCAACCUGGGAACUGCAUUCGAAACUGGCAGGCUAGAGUCUUGUAGAGGGGGGUAGAAUUCCAGGUGUAGCGGUGAAAUGCGUAGAGAUCUGGAGGAAUACCGGUGGCGAAGGCGGCCCCCUGGACAAAGACUGACGCUCAGGUGCGAAAGCGUGGGGAGCAAACAGGAUUAGAUACCCGUGUAGUC